rnacentral:rRNA from 1 species
UCAAAGAUUAAGCCAUGCAUGUCUAAGUAUAAGCAAUUUGUACUGUGAAACUGCGAAUGGCUCAUUAAAUCAGUUAUCGUUUAUUUGAUAGUACCUUACUACAUGGAUACCUGUGGUAAUUCUAGAGCUAAUACAUGCUAAAAACCUCGACUUCGGAAGGGGUGUAUUUAUUAGAUAAAAAACCAACGCCCUUCGGGGCUCCUUGGUGAAUCAUAAUAACUAAGUGAAUGGCAUGGCCUUGCGCCG